rnacentral:tRNA from 1 species
GGAGAGGUGGCAGAGUGGUCGAAUGUACCUGACUCGAAAUCAGGCGUGCCGAAAGGUACCGUGGGUUCGAAUCCCACCCUCUCCGCCA